rnacentral:other from 1 species
UAUCUUCUGCGGUGUUCGUCAUCCGGCUGGGUAUUUCCCUUGAGCCUGAUUUGCACCCCGGGGGCAUCACUGGUCGCUGUUGUUGUGCAUGUCUGCCACGGCAGAAAGCCUGAUACGGUUCCAGUGCUCCCACCUGAACCGAUAGGUUCAAGGUCGCACACCGGAAACGGCACAGGCGGUUGAUAC